rnacentral:rRNA from 1 species
GAGUUUGAUCAUGGCUCAGAACGUACGCUGGCGGCACGCCUAACACAUGCAAGUCGAACGAAGUAGCAAUACUUAGUGGCAGACGGGUGAGUAACAUGUAGGUAUCUACCCUUUGGCCUGGAAUAACACGAGGAAACUUGUGCUAAUACCGGAUAAGUCUUUACGGAGAAAGCUUUAUGCACCAUUGGAUGAGCCUGCACUUGAUUAGUUUGUUGGUGGGGUAAUGGCCUACCAAGACUGUGAUCAAUAGCUGAUUUGAGAGGAUGAUCAGCCACAUUGGGACUGAGACACGGCCCAAACUCCUACGGGAGGCAGCAGUGGGGAAUCUUGCACAAUGGAGGAAACUCUGAUGCAGCGAUGCCGCGUGAGUGAAGAAGGCCCUUGGGUUGUAAAGCUCUUUCGUCGGGGAAGAAAAUGACUGUACCCGAAUAAGAAGGUCCGGCUAACUUCGUGCCAGCAGCCGCGGUAAUACGAAGGGACCUAGCGUAGUUCGGAAUUACUGGGCUUAAAGAGUUCGUAGGUGGUUGAAAAAGUUAGUGGUGAAAUCCCAGAGCUUAACUCUGGAACUGCCAUUAAAACUUUUCAGCUAGAGUAUGAUAGAGGAAAGCAGAAUUUCUAGUGUAGAGGUGAAAUUCGUAGAUAUUAGAAAGAAUACCAAUUGCGAAGGCAGCUUUCUGGAUCAUUACUGACACUGAGGAACGAAAGCAUGGGUAGCGAAGAGGAUUAGAUACCCUCGUAGUCCAUGCCGUAAACGAUGUGUGUUAGACGUUGGAAAUUUAUUUUCAGUGUCGCAGCGAAAGCGAUAAACACACCGCCUGGGGAGUACGACCGCAAGGUUAAAACUCAAAUGAAUUGACGGGGACCCGCACAAGUAGUGGAGCAUGUGGUUUAAUUCGAAGAUACGCGCAGAACCUUACCAACACUUGACAUGUUCGUCGCGACUCUAAGAGAUUAGAGUUUUCGGUUCGGCCGGACGAAACACAGGUGCUGCAUGGCUGUCGUCAGCUCGUGUCGUGAGAUGUUGGGUUAAGUCCCGCAACGAGCGCAACCCUCACUUUUAGUUGCCAUCAUUAAGUUGGGCACUCUGAAAGAACUGCCAGUGAUAAGCUGGAGGAAGGUGGGGAUGACGUCAAGUCCUCAUGGCCCUUACGUGUUGGGCUACACACGUGCUACAAUGGUAUCUACAACAGGAAGCAAGACUGCGAGGUCAAGCAAAUCCUUAAAAGAUACCUCAGUUCGGAUUGCACUCUGCAACUCGAGUGCAUGAAGCUGGAAUUACUAGUAAUCGUGGAUCAGCGUGCCACGGUGAAUGCGU